AGUCUUAUAGUCAAAAAUAUGAUUCUAAAUUGCAAAUUUAGAGGAAGGCUAAGCCUUAAGGCUU
rnacentral:tRNA from 1 species